rnacentral:lncRNA from 1 species
CCAAUACAAUCAGACACAUUACAACUAAUCAACUAUAUAUAUACACUAUGGAACUGGAAGCUUCAAAAUUCAAAAAGGAAAUUCAGGUUCGAGUUGUCGCUUGCUAGGUUCGGAUAGAGCUUGGAGGAACUUGGUGUUGUGAAGGCAUGGCGCAAUAGAUCUGUAGGCGGUGGUAGUAGUCUGGUUGGCGUCAGCAGUAGUGACUGCAGGUAGAAUGGGUUUAUUGCAUUUGGUGGCACCACAACCGCUUUCUUGAGUUUCUUCUUUAAUGUGUGUGCAUGUGUCCAACCGUGUGUGUGUCACUGUUCUGUUUCUUGUCUUCUUGAACCUUGAGAGUUGAGAUUUGAUAGAAAGACGAGAGUAAGAUGGGAACUGAAGUAGUGAAGUUAAGUUGAGAGUUGAGAGAGAUGAGAGUGUUG